UUAUGUAAAACCUGAAAGAUUUGAAGUUCAAGAAACAAAUGUCCCAAUAACACUGCCAAUUGACAAUGACACACAGCUUAAUGAAUUUGAGCAAUACAUUUCUAUUACUGAAAAUUAUAAGACCAUGAUAUCAAAAUUUAGUCAUAUUGGAGGUAAUGGUGCUGCAGGGAUUACUAGAAAAAUAAUGAAAAAUCUUAUAACGUCUAAGUUUGCGAUUAAUUUUAAUUGGGGAGGAAGGGUUCCAAAGAGGCCUUUUAAAGAACUUAAAUCAAUGCAUUUGCUUCUUGAUUCUGUACGUAAAGCACUUCCUUCGGCGUCAACGCAAGAAAUUGAAUCAGCUAUUAAAGAUUGGCUGAAACAAGCCAAGACGAGAGUUAGGUUGCAUAAUU